UGAAGCAAAUUUUGACAACCUCAUUUGCAUUUCGACUGUUUUCCCUCCCAGACAAGGUGGAAAAGAAAGUAUCAAGACCCCGAAAGGAAGCUGAACCUCUGUGAGGCUGUCCAACAACUUUUCCACAUAGGUGCCUCUGGUUACUAUGCUUGCGUCUCGUAGGAUGUUAACACAGCAUAUCCAGCUGCCAAGGAGAGCUUCUGGUCUUCGUAAGAUAAAAAGUAAAUGACUUUCUCUGAAAAUGCUUCCAUUCUUUUCUUCCUUCCUACAGCACCUACUCCCUCGCUCUUCUUUUUGAGCUUGUCUCUUUCUAAUUGAUUCCAUCAAGGCGUUAGUUACAAAUACACCGUGCAAGUGACAAGACAUUCAACUCUGCUCUACCUUACUUGUCUGCCACUGGUUGUCUUCUGCGUCUACCGUGUCUUCAAUCAGCUGUAUUCCUGCACCCAGGAGGCUUGUGUUGUUUGUAGUGGCCGAGGAUGGCUCGCUGCUGGUUUCUCAAUGAAGGCGGCGUGUUCUACAUGAAUUAAAUAUUUACGUGUUCUACAUGAAUUAAAUAAUUAUCGACAUUGUCGUUGAAACGGCGAUGUUACGUUGUGCCUCUGAGAAGAAGAAUAGAGUGUAUAGAUCUGGAGAAGAGCAAUAUGCCUCCUUUUACAUACAUCAUUAUUUUGGAAGACAGAUCUUCCAUCAACACAAGUUGCAAUUUAACUUGCAGCUCUUCAAAUGAAGCUUUGCAAAGCCAUGAGGUCUUCUGAAUAAAAAUGAGGCUGGAAUUGCUUUGUUUCCCUUAGAUAGUGUUUGUCCACUAAGAAGAAGAAACAAAUCAUUUCCAGAAAAUGCUUCUGUUUGGUCAUUGAUUUCACUAGCCUCUGUCAAGCAGCGACAAAAAUUUGUAUAAGCAGCCUCACUGCUCUCUCAUUCGUCUCUGAGUUAUUUAUGACCAAGGUGUGGAGAACAGUGCAUGAUGGGGCCUAGAAUUAAGAUUACUUAUGAUCCUGAGACAGAUUCCAGUCUCCAGUGCCUUUCUGUAUGACUUUCAUCACCAUGUAAUCCUUAUUAUUCAUAGUAAUAAGAGUGACAGAUAUUACAGAGGGAUUAAAUAAUUCACUGAAGUUCACAUGGUUAAGAAAAGGAAGAACUGAAAGUCCAUAUUCUUUUAUUAUACUCUAUUUUUUUGUUUUUGUUUUUGAGAUGAAGUCUCACUCUGUCACCCAGGCUAGAGUGCAGUGGUGCGAUCUCAGCUCACUGCAACCUCCACCUCCCAGGUUCAAGUGACUCUCCUGCCUUGGCCUCCUGACUAGCUGGGAUUACAGGCAACUGCCACCAUGCCCAACUAAUUUUUGUAUUAUUA
rnacentral:lncRNA from 10 species